UUAAAAGUGCGGGGGACACACGUAUUCUGCGCCCAUGGGCUCGGGUAUAGGCCUUACCAAAGGCACUGGAAGGCAAGCCUGCAACCUUUAGCCAAAAAAGCGUAACGGCUAAUGCUAACGCUCCGCCCCGGCAGUACACAGGGAAGGAGACCAGAGAAAAUUUAAUAGCUUGAUAAAAAUGUAUUUUUUUAAGAGAAGGCAGACUAGGGAAUGUUGCGUCUGAUGUCACUGCCAUUACACGAUAGGCUGAGAAGAGAUCACGUGAUUAAAUUAGCCGUUACCAGAGCCUUUGAAAAACAGAGUUGCGACACUCCCAUAGUUCCGGCACUGAACUCAUUCAUUUUCAGUGACUCUGAAGUUCGCUCGCUGUUCUGUCCAGCAGCAGGCUUGACUCGACUCCAGACCCGGUCUCCUCUGGGCUCUGACACAGGCUGUUUCCACCUGAAGUUAAGAUGCAUUUUGGUCGAUCAGAUCGUAAGUGGACGACGGAGACACAUACGCGUUUACAACUGGUGUUUUAAUCCAUCUGAUUUGUCCUCUUUCAACCACUUCUGUCCUGAUUUCUUUGAGGGGGUGGGUAAAUGUAUGGGUUUUUACAGAUCUUUCAAUCUAAUGGACAAAAUAAGCUUGAGCAGUUUACAUAUGAAUGCACCCAGAGAUGACAGGAAAACAUAUUGAGAGCAUCAGUGUUCGCUUCUGCUCUGACAGCUGUGAGACCAGCCGAAUGCUGUGAGUGUGUGUUAGAAAUCAGGAAUGGUGAGAGAACAUUGUGCUUGGUACGUUUUUCAUCUUUGAACCAAACUUUGGUCUUCAGCCAACAAAGUUUAAAUCCUGUCUGGCUCGAGAGCUUCCCAUAAUGUUUACACAUUAGGUCAGUAGAUGGAGAGUAGAGUAAACAUGAGUGUUUACACUACGAAAGCAGUCCGGUCGAAUGCAUUUGUGUCUACUUCUGGAAGUGGUCGAAAGUGGACAAACUUAAACCGUUUUAGAUCUGUUUACACCUGUAUUUAAUGUUGUCCACUUGUGAUCCGAUCAGCCAAAACGCAUCUUAACACCAGGUGGAAACAGGCCCACAGUCUGCUUCUGGCAGUGGAAUGCUCUCACCCAAAAAUUCAAGUCUCCAGAUCAUCCUACGGCUGCGCUGGAAGCAUGUAAUGGCUACUGUGAACACUUAUAUUCCUUCUCUGGCCUGCUUUCUGCCAUCUUUCUCUCCCUGUAGGAAGUCGAAUGAGUUUCUUUGAAGACAGAACAUUCAAGGAAAACUUACCUACCCUCUCCCUGGAUAUAAUAUAUAAUUAAAUGUUUUGUUGAAUGCAAUUGUUUGCCUUGUAUAUUUUUCACUGUUGACCAAACUUCUUUCUUGACUUAAACUGAGCA